UACGGAGGGUGCAAGCGUUAUCCGGAUUUACUGGGUUUAAAGGGUGCGUAGGUGGGUAGGUAAGUCAGUGGUGAAAUCUUCGAGCUUAACUCGGAAACUGCCAUUGAUACUAUUUAUCUUGAAUACUUUGGAGGUAAGCGGAAUAUGUCAUGUAGCGGUGAAAUGCUUAGAUAUGACAUAGAACACCAAUUGCGAAGGCAGCUUGCUACACAGUUAUUGACACUGAGGCACGAAAGCGUGGGGAGCAAACAGG
rnacentral:rRNA from 1 species